GACGAACGCUGGCGGCGUGCUUAACACAUGCAAGUCGAACGGAAAGGCCCUGCUUUUGUGGGGUGCUCGAGUGGCGAACGGGUGAGUAACACGUGAGUAACCUGCCCUUGACUUUGGGAUAACUUCAGGAAACUGGGGCUAAUACCGGAUAGGAGCUCCUGCUGCAUGGUGGGGGUUGGAAAGUUUCGGCGGUUGGGGAUGGACUCGCGGCUUAUCAGCUUGUUGGUGGGGUAGUGGCUUACCAAGGCUUUGACGGGUAGCCGGCCUGAGAGGGUGACCGGCCACAUUGGGACUGAGAUACGGCCCAGACUCCUACGGGAGGCAGCAGUGGGGAAUAUUGCACAAUGGGCGGAAGCCUGAUGCAGAAACGCCGCGUGCGGGAUGACGGCCUUCGGGUUGUAAACCGCUUUCGCCUGUGACGAAGCGUGAGGGACGGGAAUGGGAAAGAAGCACCGGCUAACUACGUG
rnacentral:rRNA from 1 species